AUGAACGCUGGCGGCGUGCUUCACCCAUGCAAGUCGAACGGUGAAGCAGAGCUUGCUCUGUGGAUCAGUGGCGAACGGGUGAGUAACACGUGAGCAACCUGCCCCUGACUCUGGGAUAAGCGCUGGAAACGGCGUCUAAUACUGGAUAUGAGCUGCGACCGCAUGGUCAGCAGUUGGAAAGAUUUUUCGGUCUGGGAUGGGCUCACGGCCUAUCAGCUUGUUGGUGAGGUAAUGGCUCACCAAGGCGUCGACGGGUAGCCGGCCUGAGAGGGUGACCGGCCACACUGGGACUGAGACACGGCCCAGACUCCUACGGGAGGCAGCAGUGGGGAAUAUUGCACAAUGGGCGAAAGCCUGAUGCAGCAACGCCGCGUGAGGGAUGACGGCCUUCGGGUUGUAAACCUCUUUUAGCAGGGAAGAAGCGAAAGUGACGGUACCUGCAGAAAAAGCGCCGGCUAACUACGUG
rnacentral:rRNA from 1 species